GUCAUUUUAGUUGAGGUGAUGCUUAAAUAAUCUGGGUUUUUUUUACGAUGGAUAGUUGUUUAUCUGCAAAUCUAAUAGUUUGAUAGGCCUCUGCGCAUUAUGAUGAUAGGUUGCCUCAAAUGAUUCAAAUUUACAUCAAAUGAGGCAUACAGGAGGCCGUUGGAUGGGCAUUAGGUUUCCUUGUGUUGGGAGGAGGUAGUGUCGAUCCCGCUUCUGGGGAAUUGAUUUGGGUACCUUUUGAAGUUUGGUUCUCAUAUAUUGGUCCUGAAAGAUAUUUUUGUGCAAGUGGCCAAUUGAUGUUACGCUUAUUUGAAAGCCAAGCCUGGUGUGCCUGCACUGCAAUAAUCAGAGCUGGAAUCAGUGAGUGGGGCUUUCAACAUGAUUACGGGGUUGCAUCUAGCUCCACAAGCCACCUUUAUCACAUCCUUUUAAGACCUGAAUGCGAUGUAGUACUACAUUACAAGGGUCAUUCAGGUAGGUGGUGUCAGUUCUUGAUUGUGUAUGACUGAUUAUGCCAAGGUAUUUAAUCUACCGUUUUUUCACUCGAUAGAGGUUUCCUAGGAUACUCAAUCUCUGCAUGUGUUAUACGCGUCGGCCAACUUUGUGUUCGCCGAUGACCAGUACCUCCGCGGCAUUAGAUAAUUUUUCCAGCGUAUAGAUUUUAGUAGACAAAACGAAUGUUGUUAUGAAAGAUUUUUCAGACCAGAAAACACAUAAGAGCCUGCGAGAGCAAGGGGAACCAGUAUGCAUCUUGUUUGGAAUGCAUUUGGCCAGCUGCCAUGGAUGUGGUAUGGUGGCAUUACAAAAAUUUCUAUUUUCUUCAUGUUGGGUAGUGUGCUGUAUAACACCUCAGCUUUCUUGUUUCUUCAUGUUGUGUAGUUCUACAAAGGAAAAUGAUAAAUUAGUGUACUUGUUUCUUUCUGUCAUUUAAUUGAGGAGAUGCUUAAAUUAUCUGGCACUGUUUGAAAUACUACAGAAAUAGAUGCAUGUAUAUUUACCUUUGCAGCACUUGUAUUUAUGAUACACACAUGUUGUAUUUUCCAUAGAUAAAGCACCUUUAUUUGUCUACUUCACCGUUUGAUUUACACUCAUUCACAACACAGUACACCAUGUGAUUUUCGGUGAGUUUCACACUCACAUCCAUAGUUGAUUC